GAUGCACAGCAAUGUGCGUGGUAGGGGAGCGUUCCGUAAGCCUGCGAAGGUGACUUGCAAGGGUUGCUGGAGGUAUCGGAAGUGCGAAUGCUGACAUGAGUAACGUUAAAGCGGGUGAAAAGCCCGCUCGCCGUAAGCCCAAGGUUUCCUGCUCUACGUUCAUCGGAGCAGGGUGAGUCGGCCCCUAAGGCGAGGCUGAGAAGCGUAGCUGAUGGGAACAAGGUUAAUAUUCCUUGACCGCCGCCAAGUGCGAAGGGGGGACGGAGUAUUGAAGAUCAUCCGGGUGUUGGAAGUCCCGGUUUCCGAGCGUAGGAAGUCGACAGGCAAAUCCGUCGACGAAUUUCCGAGGCGAAGGAUCGAGGUUCUACGGAACCGAAGUGAUUGGAUGUGCUUCCAGGAAAAGCCUCUAAGCUCCAGCUUGGCGGGACCGUACCGCAAACCGACACUGGUGGGCGAGCUGAAUAUGCUCAGGCGCUUGAGAGAACUCAGGAGAAGGAACUCGGCAAAUUGACACCGUAACUUCGGGAUAAGGUGUGCCUUGGUAGCGUGAAGGGAGAAACACCCGGAGCGUGAAGAGGUCUCAGAGAAUCGGUGGCUGCGACUGUUUACUAAAAACACAGCACUCUGCAAAGACGAAAGUCGACGUAUAGGGUGUGAUGCCUGCCCGGUGCUGGAAGAUUAAUUGAUGGGGUGCAAGCUCCUGAUCGAAGUCCCAGUAAACGGCGGCCGUAACUAUAACGGUCCUAAGGUAGCGAAAUUCCUUGUCGGGCAAGUUCCGACCUGCACGAAUGGCAUAACGAUGGCCACACUGUCUCCUCCUGAGACUCAGUGAAGUUGAAGUGUUUGUGAUGAUGCAAUCUCCCCGCGGCUAGACGGAAAGACCCCAUGAACCUUUACUGUAGCUUUGCAUUGGACUUUGAACCGAUCUGUGUAGGAUAGGCGGGAGACUGUGAAGCGAGGACGCCAGUUCUCGCGGAGUCGUCCUUGAAAUACCGCCCUGAUUUGUUUGAGGUUCUAACCUAGGUCAGUCAUCCUGAUCGGGGACCGUGCAUGGUAGGCAGUUUGACUGGGGCGGUCUCCUCCUAAAGGGUAACGGAGGAGUGCGAAGGUACGCUAGGUACGGUCGGAAAUCGUGCUGAUAGUGCAAUGGCAAAAGCGUGCUUGACUGCGAGACCGACAAGUCGAGCAGAUACGAAAGUAGGUCAUAGUGAUCCGGUGGCUCUGUAUGGAAGGGCCAUCGCUCAACGGAUAAAAGGUACUCUGGGGAUAACAGGCUGAUACCGCCCAAGAGUUCAUAUCGACGGCGGUGUUUGGCACCUCGAUGUCGGCUCAUCUCAUCCUGGGGCUGUAGCCGGUCCCAAGGGUAUGGCU
rnacentral:rRNA from 1 species